rnacentral:lncRNA from 1 species
UGUGCAUAAUUUAUUUUGAAACUAAAUGUGUUGCACGUGCCUAUUUGAUAGAUGGUCUUUAUCAUUUACAUGUGGAUGCGAAUGUUAAUGUUAAUGAGUAAAUAGUAAAUACCGUAGGGUCCAAGAGAUCCAAAGAUAGGAUUAGCUAAAAAUAUCUAUGGCAUCUUAGGCUAGGCCAUAUUGGAGAGGACAGACUUUACAAAUUGAAGAAAAAUGGCCUUCUCGGGCCAUUAAC